UGAAAGGAAUCAAGAUUGGGGAG
rnacentral:piRNA from 1 species